rnacentral:rRNA from 1 species
CCGGCGACCGGCCGGCACGGGUGAGUAACACGUAUGGAACCUGCCCGCAGGCAGGGGGAGUAAGCGGAAGAAAUUCCGUCUAAUACCGCGUAACAACGUUGGGAGGCAUCUCCCGAUGUUUAAAGAUUUAUCGGCUGCGGAUGGCCAUGCGGCGCAUUAGCUAGUCGGCGGGGUAACGGCCCACCGAGGCGACGAUGCGUAGGGGUUCGUGAGAGGAAGGUCCCCCACCACUGGUACUGAGACACGGACCAGACUCCUACGGGAGGCAGCAG